UUCAUCUUCUUGUUCCAUUUUGGGCCACAUUGAACAAUUCUAGAUGCCCCUUGACAUUUCAAAGACUGGCAGACUAUAGAUUUUUCCUCUCAGCUCCACUGAUCCAAACUGUCCCCAAUUGAGUUUCUUUCAUCUGACCUCAAAAAUAAUUUCAUUUUCAUUGGUGGAUGAUCAUUUAUUUCCUCUAGCUGAUCCCCCAUUGGCUGAAUGGGGAGGGUACAAAAAAGUCAGUUAUGUCAUUAUUAUUAGCAACAUGCCGAGAUCAACAAGGUUAUUUCUUGUUAUUUAAGCAUACAGUAUCCCUUUGCCUGUUUCCUGCAGAUUUCAUCUGCACAUAUACAUCUCAGUGCUUCCUUCCAGUGGGAAAUGAAGAUACAAUAAUAAAGAAGGGAAGCUUAUAAGAUCAUGCAAUUAAACCUGCGGGAGUCUCAAAAAUACAUUCUGUGAAGUUUUUUUUUAAGAUAGAUUUAUGAGAUAGCUUAGGUUUAGAUAUCCCUAGUGCUUUGCUUCUCAUGUUAAAAUUUUAAACACACAUACACACACACAUAUUUCAGUAACUAAAAAGUGAUAUCACAGAUUUAUGAGCUUAGUGAUAGAAGAGUCCAUAGAGGUGUCUGGUAAAACGUAGUGUGCACUG
rnacentral:lncRNA from 1 species